GCGGCCGCCGCGGGGCGUGCCGGGACUUGUAGUCGCGCGGCCCGGGCGCCGGCGGCCGCUGAUGUCAGGGGCUGGGCGGCCGCCCUAGGGGCCCGCCCGAUGCGCUGAGGGAAAAUGCUGGAGCGCGGGCCCCCACGGGCCCACGGGGAGGCGAAGGGCAGAAGCGGGGGCCUUUCGAGCCAGGCUGAGCCUGAGUGCAAGCUCUGUCCCUCAAGCUCAGGACUAGGCGCUUCUGGGCGCAAAGCGAGUCGCCCACAGAACUCGCGCGCUGGAGGAGACCUGAGUCUGGGAGGGGAGAGAUUUGGAGAAACCGCAUCUCAGCUCCACGAAGGCAGUGGUUUUUGUCUGUUCUCUGCUGUAUUCCCAGUGCCUGAAAUGUGGUUGGCAGGAAACUUUCGUUUUGGCCACACGUGAACGUGUGGGCACGCAGGCGUGUGUGUGCGUCUCUGUGUGUGCAUGCACUGGAUCUUUAUGCAAAGGUAUUUCUUUUUGUGCGUCUUGGUCAACAACAUUUGAGAACACUGGGCUUUCUAGUUAAUCAAGCUGGACUAUUGUAACAUUUGCAAAUUUAGACCACGUUGGUUGGAUUUAUAGAAUUGCUUUCAAUGAGCUAUAUCUGGUGCUUAAGAUUUCUGUGACACUGACACCUGAAAUGAAUGUUGGGAUGUUGAGGAAACUGACCUCUAGGUCGCCAAAUCCAGAGGAUGGUUUCAGGCUGGGGCUAGGGUGAGACAUUGACUCUGAAGGUCAUGCAAGUACUGGCGUGGCGUGUUCUCAUGGCAUUCACUCCUCUCUUGAUUCCUUCGCACUGUACUCUUCUGGUCCUAUCCUGGUUCUUCUGGUUUUCCCUCUUUGGUUUCUCCUCCGCCCAACCCUAAAAUGAGCAGAGGCCCACCUGGUGUUCCUUCCUAUAGUGUAUUUUUACAGCAAUGGCUGCCAGUGAAUCAUGCCUCCCGGUAAGCCAUCCCACACUGACUUUGGGUUUGGCCAUGUGAAUUUCUUUGGCCAGUGAAGUCUUACCUUGGUAGCACAUGUACUUGGUAAGUCCUGUGCAUUGAGACUCGCCCACUUGGAUACUCCCUUGAGGCCACUAUGCUGUAAAGAAGCCCAAGUGAAAGUUAACAUGGAAAGAGAGGCCCAAGUGUUCCCGCUGUUCCAGUUGAGCCCUGUCCCCUGCCGACAGCUGGCAUCAACCAGACAUGUGAGUCUUGGACCUUCUAGCUCACUGUCCAGAUGAAUGCAGCCCCAUGAAUGAGCCAGGUGAAAGCAGAAGAGGAACUACCCAACCAACCUAUAGAAGAAUAAUAAAUACAGAAAAAAAACAAAUACACAGGUUGUUCAAAGACCCUUGAACAACAUGGGUUUAAACUCCUCGGGUCCACUUAUACACCGUUUUUUUGACAGUGGAUAAUGCAGUGCUGCAAGAUCCAUGAUUGGUUGCAUCUGUGGUUGUGGAGCCGUGGAUAUGAAGGGCCAUCUGUAAAUUAUAAGCAGAUUUUCAACUGCAAGGAGGGUCAUCAUUCCUAAUCCCCUCCUCGCUCAAGGGUCAACUGUAGUUGUUUUUAGCCGCUAAGAUUUGGAAUGGUUUGUUAUGCAGAAAUACCUAGCUGAUACAUUCCCUCAACCCUCAUCUUCUCUCACUCUGUGGGUGGACUCAGUCUCUGGCUUCUAAUAUUUUGAGGGCCCGCAAAUUGACAGUUCUAGCUCAGAACAUGUUCCGGAGGCCCUGAUUCACAUAUCUAACUUCCUAGUCGUUGGUUACAUCCACCUAAAUGUUCACAGGCUUGACCAGCCCAACCUGUUCACACCUUACCUCAUCAUCUAACCCGCCCCAGCCCUUUUCCUCUUCCUCCUGUAGUCUCUGUCUUGGUUGAUGACAUCAUCGCCAAUCCCUAAAGUUACCAGCCUGAUAUGGCAUGUUGUGAUUUCCAAGAUGGUCGCAACAAGAUUUUUUAUUCUGCAUGCUCUCCUGGCAACAUGACAUUGAUCAUCAACCCAUUAGGAGGUGGCUCAAUGUUCCUGCCUCUUGAAUCUGAGCAGGCCUGUGACCACAGAGGAAACGACACCUGUGACUUCUGAAACUCAGUCAUAGCUGCUGAUCCUGUUUCCAUCUGGUCCUCUUGGGGUACUCACUCUCUGAACGCCUCUGUCAUGCUGUGAGGAAGCAUGGGCCACAUGGACAGAUCACAAGUGGAAAUUUGGUUUGGUUUGUUAGGGCUGCGUAACAAAGUAACACAGACUGGGGAAUUAAAAAACAGAAACUUAUUGUCUCACAAUUCCGGGAGCUAGAAGUUCAAGAUCCAGGUGUUGGCAGGGUUGGUUCCUUCUGAAACCCCUCUCCUUGGCUUGUAGAUGGCCACCUUCUCCCUGUGUCCUCACGUGGUCUUCCCUGUGUGUGUGUAUCAGUGUCCUAAUCUCCUUCUCUUAUGAGGACACCAGUAAUAAUGAUUAGAGCCCACCCUAAUGACCUCUUUUUAACUUAACUACCUCUUUAAAGACCCUAUUGCCAAAUACAAUCAUAUUCUGAGGCAGUGGGGGUUAGGACUUCAACAUAUGAAUUUUGAGGAGUGGUGGGCACAGUUUGGCCCAUAGCAGUAUUCCAGCCAGCAGCCCCAGCUGAGGUUUCAGUUGACAGCCAGCAUCACCAGACCUGGGAAGAAGCCUUCACCUGACACAAAUGAGAGACCCUGAGCAAAAGCCACCCAGCUGAGCCCAAUCAGCCUCUCAUGAGAGAUAAUAAUAAAAUAAUUAUUGUUGUUCUAAACCACUGCAUUUAAAUAGCAAUAGAUUAUUGGAAUAUUCUAGAAUCAACCUGGUUGGUGGUGGUGACGAGGGGCUGGGGGACAGGGGAGAGCUGACCUGGGAAUUAUCCUGGUCAGGAUAAUUGAUACCUCUUGCUUCCCCGCUCUGCCAUCUAAUCAGUCACCAAGUCUUAAUGAUUUUGUUUACUGCACACCUCUGUAAUCCAGCCUGUCUCUUCACCUUGACCAUCAUGUUCCCAUGUCCUAGAUUGUUACAGUGGCCUCCUAAUGUCCAUUCCAUCCUCCUCGUGUUGCCAAGGUAGCUGUUCUAUGCUGUGGCCCUACCACCUGUAACUCUUGCAGCGACCAUGGCUCUCUUAAGAAAACCAAGUUCGGAUCCUCCAUAGAUGGUCUUAAUGUGAAGGGAAGGAGGCUUCCUGGCUCCUAGACCCACCCUCUCCAAUAUGGUAGUCAUUGGACAAACAUGGCUAUUGAGCAUUUGAAAUGGAGCUAAUGCCAUGAGAAGCAGAAACUUUAAUUUUACUUCAUUUUAAUUAAUUUAAAAUUGAAAACUGAUACUCAAUUCAGUUAUUGGAAAACAUUCGAGUAUGUUUGGAAAGAACUGCCAGCUGUCCUGGUUUUCCUGGGACUGAGCUUUCAGGAUGUGGAACUGGGAGUUUUAAAACCAGGACUUGGGUAAACAGGGAUGAGUUGGUGACACUACUUUGAAACAACUUGGUUAUGGAAAUCUAUGAAACCCAAAUACAGAUCAAGUGUUGUGGAUGAGAAUUAAGCAUCUGAAUGGAGAUGUGCCGUAAAUGUCAAAUAUAUUCUGGCUUUCAAAGACUUGGUAUGAAAAAAAAAUGUAAAAUAUCUCAUUAAAAAUUUCAUAUAUUGAUUACAUGUUAAAACGAUAGUAUUUUGGAUAUUGGGUUAAAUAGAGUAUAUUAUUAAAAUUAAUUCCGUCUGUUUCUUCUUUACUUUUUAAAAUUUAAAGUCACGUAUAGCUUGCAUUAUAUUUUUAUUAGGCAGCCGUGCUCUGGAGCAGUGGUUCUUAAACUGUGGCUGGUGUCAGAAUCACAGGGGCACUUCGUAAAGAUGCUGAGGCCCAGGCCCUGUCCUGCUUUGAGGAGCCUGGGUCUCUGUUCUUCAUCAGGUCUCCAGGCCUCAAUCACCCUGCUGUGGUGGCGUAGUGUGUGGAAUGUAGAUGCCAGCAACCCCUUUCCUCUUAAGUCUGGGGUCUCUGGACCUAAGAAAACAAUGCCCAAGAACCGGCAGGACUUCUCUCUCUGCCUGGCUAAGGCCUAGCAUGGGUUUUACCAGCGUGGGCUGCUCAGAUGGCGUAGGAAUGGAAAAAGAAGAGAGGGAGGAGACGGCCAGGAGAACUAAGGGGCAUCUUUUUCUGGGACUCUGAUUCUUUCUGGAUCCUUCCCUAGUCCCUAGGUAAGCUGACCUCAAAUAUCUUUCCCUGGGUUUGACAAACAACACUGAGGGCCGUGGGGCAUCACUGAAAGUUCUGAGCAGGGAGGAGCCCGAUGAAAUGGACGCCCUGUUGGCCUAUUCUGAGGGAGCCUCAGCCACCUCCCUUUCUCACACUUUUCCACAGGACUGCAGGAAGAAGCGAUUCCUCAGAUUCUUUGCUAGAGAUGGCCCCUCCCACAUGCUCACCUGCACUCCCACAGGAAAGGAUUACUGGUCCCCAAAGUGCAGUGGGCUGAAUUACUAUACUAUAAACUGUCACAGCUUAAUCCCCGUCAGCCAUCAUCCUGGUCUCGGGCAGAGGCCCUUCCUUGGUGCUCCCAGGCCUGCCCAUCCUUGCCAGGAGCCCCCAGAGACCAGGUCCCAGCUCUCUGCUGCAAAUCCACACUUAGACACCAGGCGUCACUCAGCCCCACCAAGGGAGAGAGUGUGUGGUAUGGGAAACCAGUCAGCCAACCAACCAACCAACCAACAAACCAACCAACACUGCAUCCUAGAGAACCAGGCCUAGUCUGAAUUUGGCCUCUAUCCCAUUCAGUGCUGUGCAAAUUACAUCUUCCUCUGCUUUGGUUUCCUCAUCUGCAAAAUGGGCAUAAUGGUGCCUCUCUCAUAGGGCAUUCAUGUGUAGGCUCCAGCGCUGCUCCUGGCACUCAGUAGAUGCUCAGUAGAUAUUUGUUGAAUGAAUUAAUGAAUCAAUGUGUGGAUGGGCAGCUCUUUGGCAGUCUGUCCUCAAGGGCAGGCCCCCUCCGUGGUUUCUAUUCUACCCCUUCCCGGCUUGCGGCUCCCCGCAGUGAAGGAAGAAAGUAAGGAAAUGGGUGUGUCUAGGGCUUCUGCCUGCGUGUGCCUCAUUGCAUCUGAUUCCCUGGAGAGGUAGGGAUUCAUAUGCUCAUUUUACACAUGGGGAACUGAAGCUGGGGGAAGGUCAGGAGGAGAGGACCUGAGGACACAGCUUUUCUUGGGUCUCCCAAGGGCCUGCACCAGGGCUGAGAACACAGUGCUACUAAAGGAAGGCCCACGGGUUGAGUCAAUGCAUGAACAUCAGGCACCGUGAUGACACUGGGAGCCCCAUCCCCUUUGUUGUGACAUCCUUGGGCAGGGCUAGGGCAGGACAAGAGGCACCAGAGUCUGUCUUCUCUCUCUCUCUGUCUUGGAUUAUUUCCUUUCAUACCUUCCUCCUGCCUCCUCCCCUUCUACUCCUUAGCCUGUGCCCUUUCAGCAGUAUUUUCUCCUUUCUUUCCCUUUCUUCCUUCCUUUCUUCCUUUCUUUCUCUCUUUCUUCCUUCCUACCUUUCUCUUUCUUCCUUCCUCCCUUCCUUCCUUCCUUUCUUUCUCUUUCUUUCUUUCUUUUUGUUUCCUUCUUUCUUCCUUCCUUUCUUCCUUCCUUUCUUUCUUUCUUUCUUUCUUUCUUUCUUUCUUUCUUUCUUUCCUUCCUUCCUUCCUUCCUUCCUUUCUUCCUUUCCUUCUUCCUUUCUUCCUUCCUUCCUUUCUUUCUUCCUUUCUCCUUUCCUUUCCCAUCCCUUUCCUUUUCUUCCUUCUUUCAUUCUUCCUUACUCCCUGCUUCCCUCCUUCUCCCCCCACCCCCCUGACCUUUUGUUAUAAUCUGUGACUGAGGACCAGACUGCAUAGCGUCUAAGAACCAAAAGGUUGACAUGCUGGAAUAUAGAGGCUGAGGGGCCUCCACACCCCUACCAUUCACACCCUAGCACCUCAGUUUCCUCAUCUGUAAAUUGGUUUGUUUUAAGGACUUGGGGUGGUAUGUGUAGGUGCUGAGUACAGGCCUGACCGAUGGGAAGAGCCUGAUGGGUGUGAAGUGUUGCUGGUGUUAUUUCACCUGUGCCUAAGGCAGGCCUCACUGCAGCUCUUUAAUGUCGUGGGAACUGAUUCUGGAGAGCAUCAAGGUCUGAGAUUCUGAAGGUAUGAUUUGGGGUAAAUUGUGCAUCAAUUUCGUGAUCACUUAAAUGCAAGUGUCUGGAUGGCUGCUUCCCAGGAAAGUGGUGAGCCGUUGGUCAUUAAGUUGUUGGGAAAAUGACAGCUGAGUCCUGUGGCACUAACACACAGCCUAGUUUGGAUUGUAAGCUCAGGGAGGGCAGGGCUGGGAUGAUGUGUGGCCUUCCCUGGGGUGGUGUUCAUUCAAGGCCUGUGGAGUGACUCAGGAUGCACAUGUGGUAACUGGCGAGUAGGGGUGGCCUGAGGGUCCCGAGUGACCCUAGAUCCAAAGUAGCCCCAGAGUUCCUUCUUGGCAGGUCACAGGAGAGAGAGCUGUACUCAGGACAUCUUUUUGCACAUUGCAAAGGUGAUUUGCUCUCUUGGGAAGGAAUCUGGUCUCUUUAAUAUCCUUUGUGAAGAUGCAGAAACAUCUGCAGUGGAGACUGCUGGGAUUGCUCAUGAGAAAUUAGCCACAUCUCGGUGAAAAGAGCAAUUUAUCAGAGGACGUUCCUUCCAGUGACAGAGAACCUUUCAGAACUUGAUUGCACUUAAUGUACCAGCCUUUCCAAAGUAUUUUAUUCCACCCUCAAAUGAGAUAAUGAAGCCCUUUAAUUUACUGUUCAACUCCCAGACAGAGUGAGCUGGUCAGGCCCGAGGGGAUAGAAGGCUGGACCCAGGCUCAGGAGGCCCAGUGCACCUGGUGUGUCGUCAUGGCCUUCUCAGCCUGGAGCUGCCCAUCUCCUGUUGGGAGGUGGCAUGGAGCCCCAGGCAGCCCAGGGUAAAUCCCAGUCUUGCAGUUUCCUUCCUGUGUGUCCCCAAGCCAGUCACUUACUCUCUUGAAGCCUCGGUUUCAUCAUCUGUAGAAUGGGGAUGGAUGGUAACACUGGCGCGGCAGGGUUGUAGUAAUGAUUAGGGAUGAUAUGGCUAAGAGGGCAGUGCCUGGCACUGGGUAGAUGCUCAAUAAAUGACAAUUGUCAUUGGGUAGUGAAGUCGAGCCCUGAGACCUCAGAGGAAGUCAUUCUUGCUGCUGGUCCUGGGGAACGUUCACAUCCAUGGCUCUGCCCUGGAAUCACACCAUCAGCACCAAAUGAAACAGCCUUCAAGGCCUUCACCUCCUGCUUAUCCGCCUAUCCCAUCCUGACCAUUUCAGUGGAUCUCGCCCACCCAGACAAAUAGAUGAUGGAUGGAUAGCUGUAAAAACUCAGCCGUGGGCAGCGUCAGAGCCCAUGCUGGACCUUGCCCAAGCCUUCUCCAGCCUCUCGUUUGGACCUGGGAGCUCCUUGACCUCACCCACCCUAGUUCUCACGUACAUGAUGGUGCAAGCCCUGGGUACGUCUAAGGGGCCUCGUCAGAUUUGUGUUGAUCACAAUACUCUCCCCACAAAGCAGUCAAGUAAUUGCUCUUACGAUAUCAGUAUGUUAUGAUACUUUUCCAAGGAUGCAAGUAAAGCAUUCUGAGAAAGGGAUGUAUUUUCUAAUUUGCCCAGAGGUCAUUAUAGAUGAAUGGUUUACCCUUCUUUCCCCCCCUGCCCCAGUGGCCUUCCCCAGCUCAACCUCACACUCCCCUUACAGUAGGAUUCUGGCAUUUGUCCUCUGUUUCCUGCUCUGGCCCGGGGGGACCAGCCAGGACGCGCACUGUUGGUCUCAUCUCUGGCUGGCUUUCUGACCGGCUCUUGUCUCCAGCCCAGACUGAUUCCUGUCAACACCCCCUCCUCCCCUCACUCUGUAUACAUAGCUCUUCACCUGCUCCUGCUGCCUCCCUCCUGAUCAGCAUCCAGACUCACCCUGUGUCGGUACCUGUGGUGGCUGAUGAUGGCCCUUAAAGAUCCCUGGAACCUGCAAAUGGUGCCUUAUAUGGAAAAGGGGUCUUUGCAGAUGUGAUUAAGUUAAGGCUUUUGAGAUGGGGAGUUCACCCUGGAUUAUCCAGGUGGGUCCAAUGUAAUCACAGCAUCUUUACAAGAGAGAGACAGAGGGAUAUUCGACACAGGCAGGAGAAGGUGACAUGAACACAGAGGCAGAGAUUGGAGUGAUGUGCCUGCAAGCCAAGGAAUGCUGACCACCAUCAGAAUCCAGCCACCAGCAUUCUCCCCUGAGCUUCUGGAGGGAGCACAGCCUUGAUGACACCUUGAUUUCUGCCCAGUAAUACAGAUGUUGGAUUUCUGCCUUCCAGACCUGUGCGAGAAUAAAUUUCUGUUGCUUUAAGACCAAAUUGGUGGUCAUUUGUGACAGCAGCCAUGGGAAACUAGAUCAGUGUUCAUCCUCUCUGGGGAGAUCCUUUGCCCGGUCCAGCUUAGCUCUAGGCCCUGACUCUGUUUUGGUCCCCAUGGUCCUGGCCCUGAAGGGAGCUCCCUAGCUCUUCGGAUGGGCCUGGACACUUGAUGCCGCAGUGCCAGAUCCCACUCCUGACAGGGGCUUUGGGGACCUUAGAAUCAGCUGCAUAGGUGUUAUCUGCUGGCGAUCAACCCCAGGACCCACUGGGUGGUAGGCCCUCCAAGAGAACCUUAAGCUUAUCCCUCCUCCCCUGUGGAAUAAUCAAGGCUCAUUAUAGGUGGGGAGCAGAUCAGACAGUUCAGAAGAGCAUUGGCUGAGGUCCUACCUUGUGCGAACUAUAUGAUGGGUGCUUGAUAUA